GUAUUGCUAUUUUGAUAGUCCUAAAUGAGUUGAAAUUCCAGGAGCCUUGUCUGCAGAAAUUACUCUUUGUUUUGGCUUAAUACAAGCGUUGUGAUGUCACGCCUGUCUCGGCGAGGCGAGGUGGGCAAGCUCCUUGGAGGAGGGCCGGACCUUGCGGACCACCAGUUCUGUUUAGGCAGGUUGCGCUCAACGGUGGACGCCAUCAUGCGCGUGAGAGCUCUCACGACGAGGGCUGCUGUGUCCUGGGGUGGGGGCUAAGACAUUCGAAUUCGACAUCGAAGUCAUUGACAACCAAAGUUUCAGUUCUGCGUUU